UACGGGGGGGGCAAGCGUUGUUCGGAAUUACUGGGCGUAAAGGGCUCGUAGGCGGCCAACUAAGUCAGACGUGAAAUCCCUCGGCUUAACCGGGGAACUGCGUCUGAUACUGGAUGGCUUGAGGUUGGGAGAGGGAUGCGGAAUUCCAGGUGUAGCGGUGAAAUGCGUAGAUAUCAGGAGGAACACCGAUGGCGAAGGCAGGUCACUGGGCCGCAACUGACGCUGAGGAGCGAAAGCAUGGGGGAGCGAACAGG
rnacentral:rRNA from 1 species